UGGGGAAUUUUGGACAAUGGGCGAAAGCCUGAUCCAGCAAUGCCGCGUGUGUGAAGAAGGCCUUCGGGUUGUAAAGCACUUUUGUCCGGAAAGAAAUCCUUGGCUCUAAUACAGUCGGGGGAUGACGGUACCGGAAGAAUAAGCACCGGCUAACUACGUGCCAGCAGCCGCGGUAAUACGUAGGGUGCAAGCGUUAAUCGGAAUUACUGGGCUAAAGCGUGCGCAGGCGGUUUGCUAAGACCGAUGUGAAAUCCCCGGGCUCAACCUGGGAACUGCAUUGGUGACUGGCAGGCUAGAGUAUGGCAGAGGGGGGUAGAAUUCCACGUNUAGCAGUGAAAUGCGUAGAGAUGUGGAGGAAUACCGAUGGCGAAGGCAGCCCCCUGGGCAAUACUGACGCUCAUGCACGAAAGCGUGGGGAGCAAACAGGAUUAGAUACCCUGGUAGUCCACGCCCUAAACGAUGU
rnacentral:rRNA from 1 species